rnacentral:lncRNA from 1 species
UUUUUUUUUUCUAUUUAGGCCAUAUAUUUACAGAAAUAUAAAUAAAUAAAUAUGAAGAUAUUUUUAAAUUGGUGUGCCUGCUUUAAGCUCUUCGGGGGUUUCGUGCUUGUCCAUAAGUACACAUAACUGUGAGCCAUGAGGGCGAUACCCAUGUGUGCUCUGUUGGUGCUCCUCUCUGCUACUGCUCCCCACUCAACUUCCACACACUCUCCAAGUGGGGUGAUGGGAAGUCCCCUUGUGUGGAUACAUACCUUUUAAACAAAAAAAGUGUUCUGGGUCCUUGAAGAUUAAUUACUGCCUAAGAAAGAUAUUUGAGAUGUGUAUACUAAUAUCAGAAGAAAUCUGAAUUUUGUGGAAAGGAAUUACCCAAAAACAGUAAAAAAAAAAAAAAAUAGUUCAUGUUUAAUUAAUUUUUUGGCCACACCUUUGGCAUGUGAAAGUUCCCAUGCCAGGGACUAAACCUGCACCAGAACAGUAGCCAGAGCCACAGCUGUGGCAAUGCCCAACCUUUAACCUGCUGAGUCACUAGGGAACCCCCUAAUUAACUUGGGUUUUAAUUCACCCUUUGAAGGAGUGAUGAAGAUUUAGAUAAAGGAGGAAGGAAAAACUGAACAGGGCUCUGGAAUGUCACAGCUUGAGGGGAAAGGGACAGUCAGAAUGAUGGUUCAUUUCCUGGGGAGAAAGAAAUUAAAGCAAGACGAAAAUUUAUAGAGUUGAGAGUGAAAGAGAGAAAUGUCAACGAAGGUAAAUUGCUAUUUACAAAAGAAAUGAUGGUUAUACAAGUGAGAUAAACAAAAUUUUGACAAUUCUAAAUUGAUUUUUGAAAGGUGCUUCUUUUUUUUUUUUAACAGUGGCACAAGAUACUUUCCUCAAAAUAGUGUUCCCUACAAGACAAGUAGAAUGAGUAAUUAAGUGACGAAAAAUAAUAGUAAGUAUACUUAUUAAGGGUGGAGUUUUAGGGAGUUCCCAUUGUGGCUCAGUGGGAAAAAAAUCUGUCUCAUAUGCCUGAGGUUGCAGGGUCGAUACCUGGCCUUGUUCAGUGGGUUAAGAAUUCGGCAUUGCCAUGAGCUACAGUGUAGGUUACAGAUGCAGCUCAGAUCUGGCAUUGCUGUGGUUGUGGUGUAGGGCGGCAGCCACAGCUCUGAUUUUACCCCUAGCCUGGGAACUUAUAUGCUGCAGGUGCAGCUCUAAAAAAAUUAAAAAAAAUUUUUUUAAAAAGAGUGGAGUUUUACUCCCAGCUAACAAAAGUCCAGGACUAGAUGCCUUCAAAGAUGAAUUCUACAAAACAUUUAGAGAAGAGUUAACACCUAUCUUCCUCAAAUUCCAAAAAUCUGGAGGGCAAGCAAUACUUCUGAACUCAUUCUAUGAAGCCAGCAUUACUUUGAUACCAAAUGAGAUAAAGAUAUCACAAAAAAGAAAAUUAUUGGACAAUUUCACUGAUGAACAUAGACACAAAAAUCCUCAAACAGAUAUUAGAAAACCAAAUGCCACACUAUAUUAAAAGGAUCACACACCAAGAUCAAGUGGGAUUAUACCAGGGAUGCAAUGAUGAUUCAAAAUUUGAAAAUUGAUAAAUGCAAUACACCACAUUAACGAAUGAAGAAUAUAAACCAUAUGGUCAUAUCAACAGAUGAAGAAAAAGUAACUGACAAAAAUUCAAUGCCCAUUUUUGAUAAACACUGGCAACAAAGUGGGCAUAGAGGGAACCUACCUCAACAUAACAGUAUAUGACAUACCCACAGCUAACAUCAUACUCAAUGUUGAUGAACUGAAAGCACUUCCUCUAAGAUCACCACUUUUAUUCAACACAGAAUUGGAAAUCCUAGCCUCAGCAAUCAGACAAGAAAAAGAAAUAAUAAUCAGACAAGAAAAAAUAAUCCAAAUUGGAAAGGAAAAAGUAAAAGUGUCACUCACUGUAGAUGAUAUGAUGGUAUACACAGACAAUUCUAAAAAGGCCACCAAAAUACUACUAAAACUCAUCAAUGAAUUCAGUAAAGUUGCAGAAUACAAAAUUAAUACAUAGAAAUCCAUGGUAUUUUUAUACAUUAAUGAGGAGCUAUUGGAAGGAGAAAUUGAGAAGACAAUCCAAUUUACAAUCACAUCAAAAAAUAAAAUAAAAUACCUAGGAAUAAAUCUAACUAAGGAGGUAAAAGACCUAUAUUCUGAAAACAGACACUGAUGAAAAAAAUUGAAGAAGACAAAAUCAUGGAGUUCCUGUUGUGGAGAAGCAGGAAAGAGUUCAACUAGGAACCAGGGGGUUGUGGGUCCAAUCCCUGGCCUUGCUCAGUGGGUUAAGGAUCUGGUGUUACCAUAAGCUGUGGUGGUUCAGAUCCUCCAUCACUUUGGCUGUGGUGUAGGCCAGCCAAAUAUGACCCUAGCCUGGGAAUCUUCCUAUGCUGUAGGUGUGGCCCUAAAAAGCAGAAAACCCCCAAAAAACAAAAAACAAAAACAAAAACAAAACAAAAGGAAAGAUAUGCCAUCAUCAUUGACUAGAAGAAUUAAUUUUGUUAAAAUGAUAAUACUUUCCAAGGCAAUCUAUAGAUUCAAUGCAAUCCCCAUCAACAUACCAAAGGCAUUCUUCAUAGAAUUAGGACAAAUAAUUCUAAAAUGUGUAAGGAAACACACAAGAUUCAGAAUAGCCAAAACAAUCUUAAGAAAGAAUAACAAAGCUGGAGAUAAUCCGCAAUCUUUGGUUUCAAACUAUGCUACAAAGCUAUAGUCAUCAAAACAGUAUGAUACUGGCACACACAAAAAAAGACAUUUAGAUGAAAGGGCCAGAACUGAGGGCCCAGCAAUGAACCUGCACUUACAUGGGCAAUUAACCUGCAACAAAGGAGGCAAGAAUAUACAAUGGGGAAAAGGAAGCCUCUUCAAUAAAUGGUGCUGAGAAAACUGGAAAGCUACAUGCAGAAGAAGCAAACUAGACUACUUUUUCACACCAUAUACAAAAGUAAAUUUAACUUUUUAAUCCAUUUUGAGUUUAAGACCUGAAACCAUAAAACUUCUAGAAGAAAACAUAGGCAGUAUGCUCUUUGACAUCCAUAUUAGCAAUGUUUUUUGGAUAUGUCUCCUUGGGCAAGGGGAACAAAAAGCAAAAAUAAACAAAUGGACUACAUCAAACUAAAAAGCUUUUAUGCAGUGAAGGAAACUAUCAACAAAUGAAAAGGCAGCCUACUAAAUAGGAGAAGCUAGUUGCUAUCAAUCUUUCAUAUAAGGGGCUAAUAUCCAAAAUAUAGAAAUAACUCAUACAACUCAAUAGCAAAACGAAAAACAAAUGAAUGAAGGGAUUCAGAAGACAUGGUAUACAGACACUGUGGAAUACUACUCAGCCAUAAAAAAGAACAAAAUAAUGCCAUUUGCAGCAACAUGGAUGGAACUAGAGACUCUCAUACUAAGUGAAAUGUCAGAAAAAGAAAGACAAAUACCAUAUGAUAUCACUUAUAUCUGGAAUCUAAUACAUAGCACAAAUAAAUCCUUCCACAGAAAAGAAACUCAUAAACUUGGAGAACAGAUCUGUGGCUACCAAGGGGGAGGCAGAGGGAGUGGGAUGGACUGGGAAUCUUGGGUUUAUAGAUGAAAAUAUUGCCUUUGGAGUAGAUAAGCAAUGAGAUCCUGCUGAAUAGCACUGGGAGCUAUAUCUAGUCACUUGUGAUGGAGCAUGAUGGAAGUUAAUGUGAGAAAAAGAAUGUAUAUAUAUAUGUGUGUGUGUGUGAUUGGACUGGUUUGCUGCACAGCAGAAAACUGACAGAACAUGGUAAACUACCUAUAAUGGAAAAAAUAAAAAUCAUUAAAAAAAUGUAAAGAUCUAAAUAGACAUUUUUACAAAGAAGACAUACAGAUGGCCAAGAAGUACAUGAAAAGACAUUCAAAAUCAGGAGCCAUCAGGAAAAUGAAAGUCAAAACUAUUGUUAGAUAUCAUCUCAUAUCUGUCAGAAUGGCUAUUAUCCAAAAGACAACCAGUAGCAAAUAUUGCGAGGAUGCAGAGAAAAGGGAAUGCUUAUGCACUGCUGGUGGGAAGGUAAACUGGUGCAGCCACUAUGGAAAACAGCAUGGAAUUUCCUCACAAAAUUAAAAAUAGAACUACCAUAUGAUCUAGCAAUUCCACUCCUGGGUCUUUAACCACAGAAAACAAAAAUACUAAUUCAAAAAGAUAUGCAUCCCUAGAAAGACAAAUACCAUAUGAUUUAACCUACAUGUGGAAUAAAGAAAAAAAGAAACAAAUGAAACAAACAUAACAAAAUACAAACAGACUCAUAGAUAUGGAGAGCAAACAGGUAGUUGCCAGGGUGUUGGAGGGAAGAAUUAAGAGGUAUACAAACUUUCAGUUACAUUAUAAAUGAGUCAAGGGUAUGAAAUGUACCAUGUGGGGAAUAUAGUCAAUCAUGUUAUAUCUUUGUGGAAAAAUAAAAUUUUUUUUAAAGAUAGCUAAAAACCAAACCAAAACAAACAAAAAGAGUGGAGUUUUAAAUUUAGCUAAAUUUGAGGUAGGAACUAAGGCUCCAGUCCUUUAAUGCUGGUUAACUUCCCAGUAAGAUGAUCUGAGGGUAAAGAAUCAUAUUUCAUGACCUGGAACAUAAGGAGUGACAAUAGAAUUCAUCAGUGACUGAAUAUUUACCAAAUCUAUUUCCUUUUAUUUACUAAAUCCUUAAGUAGGUAGAUGAGAGUAUCAUCAAGUUUAACAGGAUUGGAAAUUACUAAAAUAUUUCCUCAUGGCUGAUGUUUCUUGCGGACAGGCUAAAAAUACAGGAAAUAUUAUGAUAAGAUGAAAUAUUUUUUCCCUUUGCAAAACACUAAUGACACAAGAUGCAAGAAUAUUAUAGCCUGUAAGGUGUAUAAACAAAGGACUAUUUUGUUCAAGAAUACUAUGCCUAAUGCUGACCCAGACCACGGAAAAUGGUAAUUAGACAGCAGGUGUGUCCUGGAGGCAUGAGGAAUUUAAGGGAGUUGAAUAUCACACAUGAGGACAGAAAGGAAGGAUGCACUUGGUCUUUGAAUAUCACCAAUGUUUUCACCUCAAAUUCUUAUUUUAGAUAUUUUUUAAAUGCCCAUCCCUCUAAGGAAAUAUGCGAAAGAUGAGAAGAAACAC